CUAGGGAGAGGAAGUAUCGGCAACACUGAAUUAAAUAACCUUCACAGGAGUGUCACAAGAAAGACGCAAUCCAGAUGACUGUGACCAGUUUGGGGAAGUGUCUGUCACUUCGAGACAUGACUGAAGACUGGGGGUCUCAUUACUGUGACCAGCAACACUCCUGUGUGCUCCGUCUCUACAGAGCUACUACACAAGACAAACAAAUGAGGUACAUGCUCAGCAAACAAUUCGAAAAGGCAUACACCAUUCGUGAAUCAAACUGUGGAGUGCAUUAGCAAGAUCCAUCAUCCAAUGGUAGCUAAAGGUUGUACAGCAGGGCUAAUGAGAUGAUUCCUCAACAUAAAAUGGAGAGCUACGGUCCCGGACAAGAAAAUACAGGAAAAAAUUUUAGAAGACAG